UACGUAGGGACCAAGCGUUGUUCGGAUUUACUGGGCGUAAAGGGCGCGUAGGCGGCAAUUCAAGUCAGCUGUGAAAUCUCCAGGCUUAACUCGGAACGGUCAGCUGAUACUGCGGGGCUAGAGUGCAGAAGGGGCAACUGGAAUUCUCGGUGUAGCGGUGAAAUGCGUAGAUAUCGAGAGGAACACCUGAGGCGAAGGCGGGUUGCUGGGCUGACACUGACGCUGAGGCGCGAAAGCUAGGGGAGCGAACGGG
rnacentral:rRNA from 1 species